rnacentral:lncRNA from 1 species
GGGCCAGUCUUGCUGUCUUAAGGUUCCUUCUAGGAACCUCGCUAUAAUUAGCAGGCCAAUAUUGGAGAAGAGGAUCGAGGCUGCUUGGAUCUGGUAUGCAGAUGUCCAACCCAGGGUCAAACUUUUCUUCUGAAAGAUUGUCUGAGAUCGACUACCUACUCAAACACUUCUCAAAAAUAGAGGCAUAAAGCUUCCUGCCGCCUACCCGAUUUAUGAAUUGGAGGAUAAGUCG